rnacentral:rRNA from 1 species
GACGAACGCUGGCGGCGUGCUUAACACAUGCAAGUCGAACGGAAAGGCCCUGCUUUUGUGGGGUGCUCGAGUGGCGAACGGGUGAGUAACACGUGAGUAACCUGCCCUUGACUUUGGGAUAACUUCAGGAAACUGGGGCUAAUACCGGCUAGGAGCUCCUGCUGCAUGGUGGGGGUUGGAAAGUUUCGGCGGUUGGGGAUGGACUCGCGGCUUAUCAGCUUGUUGGUGGGGUAGUGGCUUACCAAGGCUUUGACGGGUAGCCGGCCUGAGAGGGUGACCGGCCACAUUGGGACUGAGAUACGGCCCAGACUCCUACGGGAGGCAGCAGUGGGGAAUAUUGCACAAUGGGCGGAAGCCUGAUGCAGCAACGCCGCGUGCGGGAUGACGGCCUUCGGGUUGUAAACCGCUUUCGCCUGUGACGAAGCGGGAGUGACGGUAAUGGGUAAAGAAGCACCGGCUAACUACGUG